rnacentral:rRNA from 1 species
UCAAGCUAAUAAGAGCGUAGGGUGAAUGCCUUGGCAUUAAGAGCCGAAGAAGGACGCGGUUAACUGCGAAAAGCCAUGGGGAGCUGUAAGCAAGCAUUGAUCCAUGGGUAUCCGAAUGGGGAAACCCGGCGGUCGUAAUGGGCCGUCACCGUUACAUGAAUAAAUAGUGUAACGGGGGGAACCCGGUGAACUGAAACAUCUAAGUAGCCGGAGGAAGAGAAAGAAAGAUCGAUUUUCUUAGUAGCGGCGAGCGAACGGGAAAGAGGCCAAACCGGGACUCUACGGAGUACCGGGGUUGAGGACCUGCGGAAUCGAAGUUGGAGAUAGUCGAAGACGGUUGGAAAGCCGAACCGGAGAGGGUAAAAGUCCCGUAGGCGAAAUCAAAGACGAGAGGCGGGUAUCCAGAGUACCACAGGACACGAGUAAUCCGGUGGGAAGCAGGGGGGUCCACCCCCCAAGCCUAAAUACUACUUAAUGACCGAUAGCGUAUAGUACCGUGAGGGAAAGGUGAAAAGAACCCCGGGAGGGGAGUGAAAGAGUACCUGAAACCCUAUGUUUACAAGCAGUGGGAGCGAGAGCGACCAUGUACUUUUUGUAGAACGGGCCGGCGAGUUACUGUGUGCAGCGAGGUUAAGUUGUUAAGCAACGGAGCCGAAGGGAUACCGAGUCUGAAAAGGGCGUAAAGUUGCAUGCAGUACACCCGAAACCGGGUGACCUAUCCAUGGACAGGAUGAAGCGACGGUAAGACGUCGUGGAGGUCCGAACCACACGUACGUGAAAAGUGCGGGGAUGAGCUGUGGAUAGCGGAGAAAUUCCAAUCGAACUCGGAGAUAGCUGGUUCUCCCCGAAAUAGCUUUAGGGCUAGCCUCGAUUUAGAUUACCGGGGGUAGAGCACUGAAUGGGCUAGGGGGCCACAAAGCUUACCGAACCCUAUCAAACUUCGAAUACCGGAUAAUUGAUGAUCGGGAGUCAGACAGUGUGAGAUAAGUUUCAUUGUCGAAAGGGAAACAGCCCAGAUCUACGACUAAGGUCCCAAAGUUCAAGUUAAGUGGAAAAGGAUGUGCAAUUGCGUAGACAACCAGGAUGUUGGCUUAGUAGCAGCCAUUCAUUCAAAGAGUGCGUAAUAGCUCACUGGUCGAGUGAUUGUGCGCCGAAAAUGUAACGGGGCUAAACUUGACACCGAAGUCUAGGCAGAAGGAAACUUCUGGGUAGGGGAGCAACGUGUACGGGCAGAAGCAGAAGCGGAAGCGACUGUGGACUGUACAGGAGAGAGAAUGCCGGCAUGAGUAGCGAGAGCAAAGUGAGAAUCUUUGCCGUCGAAAGCCUAAGGUUUCCUGAGGAAGGCUCGUCCUCUCAGGGUAAGUCGGGACCUAAGCCGAGGACAAUAGUCGUAGGCGAUGGACAAUCGGUUAAUAUUCCGAUACCGCCGAGCAACCGGAUGCAGUGACACAGAAGGAUAGGCAGAGCGUGGCGAUGGUAGACCACGUCCAAGCAGUGAGGCUGUUGUGUAGUGAAGUACGCACAACGAAAGGCUGGGCUGUGAUGGGGAACGAUUACGAUCGGUAAGCUGCUGAAUUCACGCUGGCGAGAAAAGCUGCUACGAAGCGAAGGCGCCCGUACCGCAAACCGACACAGGUAGGCGAGGAGAGAAUCCUAAGACGAGCGGGAGAACCCUUGUUAAGGAACUCGGCAAAAUGACUCCGUAACUUAGGGAGAAGGAGUGCCCAGGAAUGGGCCGCAGAGAAUAGACCCAAGCGACUGUUUACCAAAAACACAGGUCUGUGCGAAGUAGAGAUACGACGUAUACGGGCUGACACCUGCCCAGUGCCGGAAGGUUAAGGGGAAAUGUUAGGGCAACCGAAGCAUGGAACUUAAGCCCCGGUGAACGGCGGCCGUAACUAUAACGGUCCUAAGGUAGCGAAAUUCCUUGUCGGGUAAG